rnacentral:rRNA from 1 species
CAGCAGCCGCCGCGGGAAUACGAAGGGUGCAAGCGUUAAUCGGAAUUACUGGGCGUAAAGCGUGCGUAGGCGGUUUGUUAAGUCUGCUGUGAAAUCCCCGGGCUCAACCUGGGAAUGGCAGUGGAUACUGGCAAGCUAGAGUGUGUCAGAGGAUGGUGGAAUUCCCGGUGUAGCGGUGAAAUGCGUAGAGAUCGGGAUGAACAUCAGUGGCGAAGGCGGCCAUCUGGGACAACACUGACGCUGAGGCACGAAAGCGUGGGGAGCAAACAGGAUUAGAUACCCGAGUAGUCCCUGUCUCUUAUAC